GACGAACGCUGGCGGCGUGCUUAACACAUGCAAGUCGAGCGAUGAAGUUCCUUCGGGAAUGGAUUAGCGGCGGACGGGUGAGUAACACGUGGGUAACCUGCCUCAUAGAGGGGAAUAGCCUUCCGAAAGGAAGAUUAAUACCGCAUAAGAUUGUAGUAUCGCAUGAUAUAGCAAUUAAAGGAGCAAUCCGCUAUGAGAUGGACCCGCGUCGCAUUAGCUAGUUGGUGAGGUAACGGCUCGCCAAGGCGACGAUGCGUAGCCGACCUGAGAGGGUGAUCGGCCACAUUGGGACUGAGACACGGCCCAGACUCCUACGGGAGGCAGCAGUGGGGAAUAUUGCACAAUGGGGGAAACCCUGAUGCAGCAACGCCGCGUGAGUGAUGACGGUCUUCGGAUUGUAAAACUCUGUCUUCAGGGACGAUAAUGACGGUACCUGAGGAGGAAGCCACGGCUAACUACGUGCCAGCAGCCGCGGUAAGAC
rnacentral:rRNA from 1 species